GGGGGUGUAGCUCAGUGGUAGAGCGCGUACUUUGCACAUACGAGGUCCUGGGUUCGAUUCCCGGCACCUCCA